CUUCUUCUCUUUCUAGAACUCACCCAUGAAAGCUGAGGCUCCAAUUCCCCUCUGCAAGCUCAGCAUCACACAGUCCAGCUCCUCUCAUUUCCCUCUCCUCCGCGGAUUGGAGUUAGGAUUGGAGUUAGGAGCUAAUCAUCAGCCCCCUGCCCACCUUCAGAGAGUUCAGAAGGCAGACUUGAGACGAGCCCUUCCACAGAGACUGUUCCGUGACUAAGAAUGAACUGAACACCUCCAGAGCCCCUUCUUACCACUCAGAGUCCCAUCUGCCUUUCUACUUCAUCUGCCCAAGGACCCAAUUCACAGACAGUCUGGAUGGGUAUCCAGUUCCAACACCAAUUGGUGUUACAUGGGGAAGACUAUUUCUUCAACUCUGUGUCGGGGGCCAUGCAAGAGGAACAGCAAGUGGCCCACUGUUUGCAUAGACACAAUGGGUACCUAUAGGACUAGAAACACCAAGUUGAAAGAAAUCCGGGAUGAAUAUAGAUGUCUCUACAGGCCUAUUUUCAUGAAGCAGAAGUCUUCGGUUGUUCUAUCGGCAUUAAGAACACCAUACACAGUAAAUUUUCCACGGCUGCCUUUUAAACACUCCAGAAUGGACUGUUUCUGUUUCUCCUCAUGCUGCUCUACCAGCAAGUGCUCAUCACAUCUAUACCUAGCAGAUGGAGGCUUGCUCCUCCUUUCCUUUGUUGCAACCCCACUCCCUGCUUUCUGUACCACACAAACACUGAGUAUAAUAAACAUUUUAGCUGCUCAAAA